rnacentral:sRNA from 1 species
GCUGGGCGUGGUAGUGCAUGCCUGUAAUCCCAGCAGCUUGGGAGGCUGAUGCAGGAGGAUUGCAAGUUCAAAGCCAAUCUCAGCAAUUUAGUGAGGCACUAAGCAACUCAGUAAGAGCCUGUCUCUA